rnacentral:rRNA from 1 species
UAGGGAAUCUUCCGCAAUGGGCGAAAGCCUGACGGAGCAACGCCGCGUGAGUGAUGAAGGUCUUCGGAUCGUAAAACUCUGUUAUUAGGGAAGAACAAAUGUGUAAGUAACUAUGCACGUCUUGACGGUACCUAAUCAGAAAGCCACGGCUAACUACGUGCCAGCAGCCGCGGUAAUACGUAGGUGGCAAGCGUUAUCCGGAAUUAUUGGGCGUAAAGCGCGCGUAGGCGGUUUUUUAAGUCUGAUGUGAAAGCCCACGGCUCAACCGUGGAGGGUGAUUGGAAGCUGGAAAACUUGAGUGCAGGAGAGGAAAGUGGAAUUCCAUGUGUAGCGGUGAAAUGCGGAGAGAUAUGGAGGAAAAACAGUGGCGAAGGCGACUUUCUGGUCUGUAACUGACGCUGAUGUGCGAAAGCGUGGGGGUCAAACAGG